rnacentral:tRNA from 2 species
GCAUCAGUGGUUUAGUGGUAAAAUCCAUCGUUGCCAUUCUUGAAAGACACUCGAUGGGCCCCGUGUUCGAUUCACGGCUGAUGCA